UGAAUUUCAUUCCACUUUGUUGUCUCGUAUUUACUGGUUAAUUUUUUUUUUUUUUUUUUUUUUCUCAACAGAUUUAAAAGUUCUGGCAAUGAAUCAAUCGGUUAAAUCACUGUGAGUUAACUCCCAAACCAUAAAAUAAAAGUUCCGUGUGUUUCAAACGUGAUUAAACUUUAAAGAGAUAAAAACUAUUUGCAACGGCGUCAUUUUGAAAUUUUUUCCUCCACCUAAAUGACAAUAAACCCAGACACGGGACUUGCCUUUUCGUUCUGCACUCGUGAGGAAAGCUAUGCGCGUGCACUAUGCACCUUCGUUUAUCCAUCCCCGUCGAUGAUCUGAAAAUCUGAAAAUUGUAGUGGCGGGCUGCAAUUACAUACAACAUACACGUACGUACAUGACCUACAUUGAUUUGACGAUUGAAAGACUACGAAAUUAGCCAACUAUUAUGAAUAAUUCACCAUUUAUCACGUAAUACGAGCUUUGUCGAAGGCGAACACGGAAGGGAUCGAUAAAUUUAUAGAAAACAAAAUCUAUGGCCGAUAGACCGAAGGAUGUAAAAUUGAUUGAAGAAAAAAAAUUUAGUUUUUAUAAUAGAAAAUAAAACAGAAAAGACCGCAAAACUUGGAGUCGCGACUUUAAAUGAGUUGACAAAUUUAGGCGAACGAGAAAUUAAAUGCCAAAGUACGUCUCCCCUUCUGAACGUUCCUUUGCCAUAGCAUUGAUAGCAUUUUUAUGUUAAUUAAUAUAUACAUACGUAUACACACAUAUAUUGACGUAUAUACUAUUAACAAAAUACCUAAUAUAUUUAUUUAUAUAAUUUUAUUGAUUAUGUAGCAAAAUACCUAUUUAAAUAUUUGGUGUCACAUAGUUAUUUUAUCAUACCAUAUAUACUAUAUCUGUGUAUAUAUUGUAUAUAUGUAUAUGUGUAUAUGCGUUUAAUAAAAGCUAAGUCGUUUGGUAAUCAUUAUAAUAUACAAUAUGCGAAUUAAUGCCAUAUUGCGGAUGUAUGGGCAGUGCUCCGUAGUUUAUAUUAAGUUCAAUAAUGGUAGAAGAAUGGUCGUGAUAGUGGUAGACAUAUAACAGUAAGUAGGUAAAUAAACUUAGAUUUCCGUACAUUUAUAUUAUAUAUAUGAUGUAUAAAUAUGUAUUAUUUUACAUGCUAAAAGUAUGCUAGGCACUUGGUGAAUGAUAAUUCAUAUUCAACAUCAUAACCGUUGUCAAAAAAGAGCCUUCAGAUAUUUUGCAGGUUAAUAUAUUAAUUUGAAACAUGUAUUUUAUAUAUAAUAUAUAUAUAUCAACUUUUAUACAUAGAUAUAUACGUAUAUAUAUAUAUAUAAUAUACACGCAUGAACACAAAAAUUUCACGACGAAAAAAUACACUGUAGAGUUAUAUCUCUUUUAUAAAAUAUUUAUAUAUUAUAUUCGUUAUUAAUAUUACUAUUAAUAUUAUUAUUAUUAUUAAUAUUAUUAUUAUUAUGACAAAUCUUAUCGACUCUGUUUUGAACGUUCGAUUACAAAUAUAAUAAUAAUCUUUUUUCAUUACACUCUGUUCUUCUAUUUUAUAUGCAAUAAAUUUCAUUUCUAGUUCAAUCUUUGUCCAGUGUGCGUAUUAUUUAUUCACGUCUGUAUGCGGAGGUAUAUUUCUGAGGAUAUGUGGAUAAAUUUUUCUCAUCAAUUUCUCAAUUAUGUAUAUGGAAUCUUUUUCACUUCUUAUGAAAUGUAUCAUAAUCGUUGUCGUUAUUAUUCAUGUUAUUUUUAUUCAAUAAUUAUAAUUUGUUUCAUUUUGUGGGAAGUAAAAAAAAUAUAUAUAUUCUUGUAAUUUUCGUAUUUCUCGGAGAGCCUAUUAGUUAUUUUUUGAGAUAACUCUUUCUCUUUUGAUGUUCAUAAUUUGUUUUUGUGUUCUUUUCGUCGAUUUUACGUAUUUUUUAUA